UACAGAGGGUGCGAGCGUUAAUUGGAAUUACUGGGCGUAAAGCGUGCGUAGACGGUUAUUUAAGUCAGGUGUGAAAGCCCCGGGCUCAACCUGGGAAUUGCAUUUGAGACUGAAUAGCUAGGGUGCGGAAGAGGGAAGCGGAAUUUCCGGUGUAGCGGUGAAAUGCGUAGAUAUCGGAAGGAACACCAGUGGCGAAAGCGGCUUCCUGGUCCAGCACCGACGUUCAGGCACGAAAGCGUGGGGAGCAAACAGG
rnacentral:rRNA from 1 species